CGGUGUCCCGCGGCCCCGUGGAUGGGGAGGAGCGUGGAGCGGGAUACGUUCUAGACACGUUUGCGGCGUCUAUUGAGCCUGACCCUAUGGUGGCACUUCACUCGCUUCAUUAAUGCUCACGUGCGUCUUUGAAAGAUGGGGGAUGGUCCCCAUUUUGUAGAGGAAACUGAGGCCCAAGCAGGGUGACUUGCGCACUCCUUGCAGUUGAGGGAGGGGGGAGGGGGCUGUGCGCUGGCCCGGCCCCGGGUCCCUCGCCCCCCACCCCCGCCCCGCUUACCUUCGCGCCUCCCCCGCGGCGGUGGACCCGGCGGCGGCGGCGGGAAGAGCCCCGCACCCGGCGGCUAAGCCCCGGACGCAGGCGCAGCCCUCGGGCCGGCAGCCCGGGCCGGGUGCCGAGCGCACCCCGCCUGCCUCGGUCCUCACACCCUCACCUAGGAAAUGAGGAGGUUGAAUGGGGAUCGCCCAGGUCCCCUCCCGCUCUUACUUCUGCAGGUUGCUCUGCCGUGUGCAUCCGAGUUCCCCCUCCUGGGACUCCCGCCGCCCGGUGAUCCCAUUACGUGCGCAGCAGGCCUGUUUCCAGGAGAGCUCAGUGCAGAGGCCCAGGCCGAGAGCCUGAGAGCUGGAGCCCUUCCACUUGUGGCAGCAGCUGUGUGUUUGCCAUGCCCAACUCUACGGCCUCUUUGUGGGAUGAGAGAGCUGAGGUCUGGGGAAGGUAAGCACUGUAUGCACAAGUGCAGGCAUGAUGAGAAAAGGUAGACUCGGAACCUAGGACUCCUUCACCAAGAGGUACAACUACAUGAAAGGGACAAUGAGGUUGAAUGUAAAAGACAGUCAAUGCUAAAUGGGUUACUGGAUUCUAGAAUGUUUCUAUCAUUACCAGAUAAAUAAUGCCGCCUCUUUGGUUUCUUUGGCUCUGCAGACGUGUGGCAUCAAAUGGUAAAUAGCAGUACUGUCACCAUCAUGUUCGUCAGCAGAUACUUGACUGGAAUACCUGACGCCAUUAUAAUUAAGCUUUUUCUUGGGAAAAAAAUUUCAAUAAGGUGUUUCACUUUUCUGUAUUGUGUGUGCCAAAACUGAGUCUGCAGUUGUAUUAUGUAGUACAAAUCAAUUCACCCACACCUCCAGCAUCAGUUUUCACGGGGAAGAAAGCAAUUAAGAUUUAGAGCAGGUGCUGCUCUGACUAUUAAUUAUAAACCCUGUGGAACACAUUGAAAUGUGCAGUAUAAUUCUGAGAAACAUCUCAUUUUAAAUUGGAAAUGUUUCCUUGCCUUUUAAGGGGACCUAAGAUUUAGGCAAAAACGGGGUAUAAACA
rnacentral:lncRNA from 12 species